UACGUAGGGUGCAAGCGUUGUCCGGAAUUAUUGGGCGUAAAGGGCUCGUAGGCGGUCCAUCACGUCGGGAGUGAAAAGCUGGGGCUUAACCCCAGUCCUGCUUCCGAUACGGGUGGACUAGAGGUAGGCAGGGGAGAACGGAAUUCCUGGUGUAGCGGUGAAAUGCGCAGAUAUCAGGAGGAACACCAGUGGCGAAGGCGGUGCUCUGGGCCGGAACUGACGCUGAGGAGCGAAAGCUAGGGGAGCGAACGGG
rnacentral:rRNA from 1 species